rnacentral:rRNA from 1 species
CUACGGAGGGGGUUAGCGUUGUUCGGAAUUACUGGGCGUAAAGCGCACGUAGGCGGACUGGAAAGUUGGGGGUGAAAUCCCGGGGCUCAACCCCGGAACUGCCUCCAAAACUUCCAAUCUAGAGAUCGAGAGAGGUGAGUGGAAUUCCAAGUGUAGAGGUGAAAUUCGUAGAUAUUUGGAGGAACACCAGUGGCGAAGGCGGCUCACUGGCUCGGUAUUGACGCUAAGACGCGAAAGCGUGGGGAGCAAACAGGAUUAGAUACCCUAGUAGUCC